CAGUCUGGCACAGCCCUGUUCCUCCUGGCGGGCAUGGGAGGGGGGAUCGGGGAUGGAAACCAAUUUCUAGGGUCUUCCAAGUAAACUACAGACUCCGGGAGCUGUGGACCAGAUCCAGGACUAGGAUGAGGACCCUUAAUGGCGUUCUGGAAUCCUGAAAAGCAGCCCCCAGAGGCUAGUGGAACAGCCCGGGGAGAAAUGCAGAAUGAGGAAGUUCAUCGCCUGGUCUCUAGGUGUGCUGCCCUCAAGCCUGAGAUUGGGCAGAUGCCACGACCUCCCUUCUGCCCAGCCCCAAGCGGUCUGCCUGGCUCCAACCACAGGGCAGCACGGGUAAACUGGAACUGAGCUGUUGUGUGCAAGUGUGGGUGGGGGUCAGGGAGCACAGAGAAGAGCACUGGGACUCCUAGUCUGCCUGGCACACCGAGUCACUUAGCCAUGCUGUGACCUGCCGGGGACCAGCUCUUCUUCAGCAGUGACAGAGCCAGAUCAAAGGGGACCUCAGCUACAGCAGGAGGGAUUUAGAUAAGCUAGCAAAAAGAACUUCCUGCCUGCAAAGAUUGUUAAGCCCUGGAAAGGGGAGCCUGGGAGUCUGUGGAAUCUUUUUGCUCCGAAAUCGUA